UUGAACGCUGGCGGCAUGCCUUACACAUGCAAGUCGAACGGCAGCACGGGGCAACCUGGUGGCGAGUGGCGAACGGGUGAGUAACGUAUCGGAACGUACCUUAUAGUGGGGGAUAACUCUCCGAAAGGAGUGCUAAUACCGCAUAUUCCAUGAGUGGGAAAGCAGGGGAUCGCAAGACCUUGUGCUAUGAGAGCGGCCGAUAUCUGAUUAGCUAGUUGGUGAGGUAAAGGCUCACCAAGGCGACGAUCAGUAGCUGGUUUGAGAGAACGACCAGCCACACUGGAACUGAGACACGGUCCAGACUCCUACGGGAGGCAGCAGUGGGGAAUUUUGGACAAUGGGGGCAACCCUGAUCCAGCAAUGCCGCGUGAGUGAAGAAGGCCUUCGGGUUGUAAAGCUCUUUUGUCAGGGAAGAAAAGGUCUCUCCUAAUAUGGGAGGCUGAUGACGGUACCUGAAGAAUAAGCACCGGCUAACUACGU
rnacentral:rRNA from 1 species